rnacentral:rRNA from 1 species
ACUGCCUGCCCAGUGACUAAAGUUAAACGGCCGCGGUAUCCUGACCGUGCAAAGGUAGCAUAAUCACUUGUUCCUUAAUUAGGGACUGGUAUGAACGGCUAAACGAGAGCUCAACUGUCUCUUAUUUUUAAUCAGUGAAAUUGACAUCCCCGUGAAGAGGCGGGGAUACUACAAUAAGACGAGAAGACCCUAUGGAGCUUUAAUUUAUAUCUAAUUUAACUACCACCUUACCCUAAUGGACCAAAAAACCUUAAAUAUUAGAUUAAAAUUUCGGUUGGGGUGACCUCGGAGCAUAAAAAAUCCUCCGAACGAUAAUAGCCAAGACUUACAAGUCAAAGUGACUAAAACAAUCAAAUUGACCCAAUCUUUGAUCAACGGACCAAGUUACCCUAGGGAUAACAGCGCAAUCCUAUUUAAGAGUUCAUAUCGACAAUAGGGUUUACGACCUCGAUGUUGGAUCAGGACAUCCCAAUGGUGUAGCAGCUAUUAAUGGUUCGUUUG